rnacentral:rRNA from 1 species
AUGUACGACCAUAGCUUCUGGAGAACUCGGGAUCCCGUCCGCUCUCCCAUAGAUAAGCCAGAAAGCGCCAAAGUCAGUAGUUGGGUUGGUGACAACCAGCGAAUCCUUGGUGUUGUACAUU